rnacentral:rRNA from 1 species
UACGUAGGUGGCAAGCGUUGUCCGGAUUUACUGGGCGUAAAGCGUGCGCAGGCGGACAAGUAAGUAGGAAGUGAAAGGUUGGAGCUCAACUCCAACACUGCUCCCCUAUACUGCUUGUCUUGAAUGUCGGAGAGGAAGAGGGAACGACACGUGUAGCGGUGAAAUGCGUUGAGAUGUGUCGGAACACCAAUGGCGAAAAGCACUCUUCUGGACGAAAUAUUUGACGCUCAGGCACGAAAGCUAAGGUAGCAAAACAGG